GGCAUGGCGGUGUGCGCUCGCCUCUGCGGCGUGGGCCCGUCGCGGGGAUGCCGGCGCCGCCAGCAGCGCCGGGGCCCGGCCGAAGCGGCAGCGGCCGACAGCGAGCCGGACACGGACCCCGAGGAAGAGCGCAUCGAGGCGGGCGCGGCGGCGCUGGCCGGGGCGGAGGGCGGCCGGAGCGCGGGCCCCUCGUCGCCCCCGCGCUGCUCGCUGCUGGAACUGCCGCCCGAGCUGCUUGUGGAGAUCUUCGCUUCGCUGCCGGGCACCGACCUGCCCAGCCUGGCCCAGGUCUGCACCAAGUUCCGGCGCAUCCUGCACACCGACACCAUCUGGAGGCGGCGCUGCCGGGAGGAGUACGGCGUUUGUGAAAACUUGCGGAAGCUGGAGAUCACGGGCGUGUCUUGCCGAGACGUCUACGCGAAGCGUAUAAACCCUCGUGUGAAGUCGGGCCGUUUCAUGAAAAUUCUUCCCGAUUUCGAGCACAUGGAAUACAGAGAUGUUUACACCUGCCAGCCGUGGGGCCUCGUGUCCCCUGGUCCCCUGAAGUCCUCUGCGCCACGUUCCCCUGGACCCGAGAGCGGAUGUCUCCCCACAGCCUUGUGGCCCAGAUCAGCUGCUCUUGUGCUUCACCGAUACAGACACAUUUUAGGACUGUGGCAGCCAGAUAUCGGGCCGUAUGGAGGACUGCUGAAUGUGGUGGUGGACGGCUUGUUCAUCGUUGGCUGGAUGUACCUGCCUCCGCAUGACCCUCACGUGGACGACCCGAUGCGGUUCAAGCCCUUGUUCCGAAUCCACCUGAUGGAGAGGAAGUCGGCCACGGUGGAGUGCAUGUACGGCCACAGGGGGCCCCACAACGGCCACGUCCAGAUCGUGAAGAAGGACGAGUUCUCCACCAAGUGCAACCAGACGGACCACCACAGGAUGUCUGGUGGGAGGCAGGAGGAAUUCCGCACGUGGCUGAGGGAAGAAUGGGGGCGGACGCUGGAGGACAUUUUCCACGAGCACAUGCAGGAGCUCAUCCUGAUGAAGUUCAUCUACACCAGUCAGUAUGACAACUGCCUGACCUACCGCCGCAUCUACCUCCCGCCCAGCCACCCGGACGACCUGAUCAGGCCUGGCCUCUUCAAGGGCACCUACGGCAGCCACGGCCUGGAGAUCGUCAUGCUCAGCUUCCACGGGAAGCAUGCCAGGGGCACGAAGAUCACGUUUCUACGGCACGGGCCUCAUCGCCGGUCACGGCUUCACCAGCCCCGAGCGCACCCCCGGGGUCUUCGUCCUGUUCGACGAGGAUCGCUUUGGGUUCAUCUGGCUGGAGCUGAAGUCCUUCAGCCUGUACAGCAGGGUCCAGGCUGCCUUCCGGAAUGCGGACGCCCCGUCCCCACAGGCCUUCGAGGAAAUGCUCAAGAACAUCCAGUCCCUCGCCUCCUGAUGGCCCGCUCCCCCGCGGCAGGCGGCCCGGGCUGGGAGGGCAGCAGUGUGCGCUCAGGAGACGCGGCCUCUGACCGGAACACCCACCUCCUCGUAGGAGCCUCAGCGCGGCCUCCCCAGACGCUUUCCGUGGACGCCCACAUAUCUGCCAGUAGCAAUGGGAAAGCUGAGCAUGUCUGAAACAAACAACAGAACCAGAACAAACCGACUUAGAGGACGGGCUGCAGGGCAUGUAGGUGACUGAACUGGAGAAAUUGGCCAUUUUCUAGGGAAAACAAAAUCCUCCUCCAGGGAGGUUCACAACGCAACAGAGUCUGUUGCCUCCAGCGAUGGAAGGGGUCAUGGGUGAGGUGUGCGGGCUCCCCCGUCCCCUCUGCAGGAAGUGAGCCAGAGGGCCUUGGUGACUUCGACACAGCCUGGGCAGGUGGGGGCACUGUGUGUGGAAUAAGAGCUCCAGGGAGUCGGGCUUGGGACCCACUUCUCUACCGACUUGCUUGGAUUUUGGACAAAGGCAUUUCACCCUGAUCUCAGUUUCCAAAUCAGUGAAAUGGGGCCAAUGAUACGGGUCACUAGAGAACGCCACUGCAGGCCUUCCAGCAGCUCGGAGGCCCUGUGAGCACCACCCGACCCCGGUCCCUGCGGUGCCGUGUGCCUGCCCGGCCUCUCUCAGGCUUUAGAACCUAGACCUUCACUGCAGCAGUUCAGACAGGCAUUCACUUAGUUCACGCCCUGCCCCUGCCCCGCACUCACUGGUGUCAGACCCUGAGCUGCAGCCGCUGGUCUCAGAACCAGGACAGGGCACCCUCUGAGAUGACCUGCGUCUGUUCCUUCUGCUUGGUUUACACAGGUGCCGCUCUUGAGAGGGGCGAAGCAGCAGAAGGGGUUGUGCCAGAAUCACAGAAGCAGCAAGCUCUGGGCAUGGCCUUGAAACGCAGACUGGGCCUCCCCGGAGGCUCCGCGGGGCUGCCCUGGGCACGCCGGGCCGGGCACUGUCGGCCGUCUCGUCCGAGGCACGCAGGCCCACCUCCCAGACCCUUCCAGCAGGACCCAGGGUUGGGUGGGAACGUGGUCCCAGCUCCUGCGUCUGUGGAAGGACUGAGCCUCGGAGCCUGAGGCUCCUCCCUCCCUCUCACAACGCGGCUGUUCUUCUCUCGUGCCAAGCGUGGCCGUCCCCAACGGUGACAACUGGCCGCAAAGCCUUGAGGACCGCGAAAACGGAGGACAGCUGGGCUACGCUGUUCCUCUCUAGGUUUCAUCAUUGUUUAAAUAAAAUAAAAAAAAAUGCAUAUUUUACCCAGAGCUAAGGGACCGUCUCCGUCUGAGGCCCCCAGCGUUGCAAAGCGCACACAGAUCGAAGAAGAGCGCUUCUGAUUAAAAACCAGUCUCAAACUGAA